GUGUAAUCGCUAUAGAAAUAUCCAAAGUCCGCUUGCUACCGAUCGAUUACACAGAAGACAAAAGCUACCAAACUCUUGACAUCAACGAUCGUUCGAGGAAUCGACAAUACAAAUCAAAAUGUUAAAAUUUAUUAUGGUGUUAGCGGUGUUUACGUUAUUGUUUGGGCUCAUGCAAAAUGCUCAAGCAUGCGAUGGUGACGAAUGUAGCAGUGAAGAGCCUUGUUGUGAAGGAUACUAUUGCUAUAUGAGUGACAUAUGGGACCAAUAUUGUGUCCCUGAAUGAUGAACCAUAAAAUCUAAAGACUCGAGGAUUCACAACUUUAUUUUAUCUAUCUAUUGAAUUUUUUCUCGAGGUAAAAUUAUUUAAGACGCAAAAAUAAAUAAAUAUAUUAUUGUG